rnacentral:rRNA from 1 species
GUCGAACGGGAUUUUUUCCUGUAGCAAUACAGGAAAAAGUCUAGUGGCGAACGGGUGCGUAACACGUGAGCAACCUGCCGUGAAGUGGGGGAUAGCUCGCCGAAAGGCGAAUUAAUACCGCAUGUGGCCAAGGAAGACAUCUUCCUGACGCCAAAGCCGGGGUAACCUGGCGCUUCUCGAGGGGCUCGCGGCCUAUCAGCUUGUUGGUGAGGUAACGGCUCACCAAGGCUAUGACGGGUAGCUGGUCUGAGAGGACGACCAACCACACUGGAACUGAGACACGGUCCAGACACCUACGGGUGGCAGCAGUCGAGAAUUUUUCACAAUGGGGGAAACCCUGAUGGAGCGACGCCGCGUGGAGGAUGAAGGUUUUCGGAUUGUAAACUCCUGUCAUUAGAGAACAAGGCACAUGGUUUAACUGGCCGUGUGUUGAUAGUAUCUGAAGAGGAAGGGACGGCUAACUCUGUGCCAGCAGCCGCGGUAAUACAGAGGUCUCAAGCGUUGUUCGGAUUCAUAGGGCGUAAAGGGUGCGUAGGUGGCGAGGUAAGUCGGAUGUGAAAUCUCCAAGCUCAACUUGGAAACUGCAUUCGAUACUGCUUUGCUAGAGGAUUGUAGAGGGCAUUGGAAUUCCAGGUGUAGCGGUGAAAUGCGUAGAGAUCUGGAGGAAUACCGAUGGCGAAGGCAGCCAUCUGGCCUAAUACUGACACUGAGGUGCGAAAGC